rnacentral:lncRNA from 1 species
UCAGCUUACAUGAUGGCGGUUGUACGAUAAAAGUGAGUACUGGUACCGUAAUUAGUGAGCUAUAUUAUUCAAAAUAGAAAGCGAAUGAGAAACCAGAAGACUGGAAGCAGUGUGACGAAGACUGCAGUAGUUCAAGAACUUGUUGCUCAUGCAGUGAAACAGCAUCACUGUACGCUCAACCGCUCCCCCAACUGCAAGAUGACAGCUAACCUGUGACUGCCGCCGCCGGCACUGAUUAAGGCACUAAGCCGUCCGUCAGAUUGUUUCAUAAUGGCUUUGUUGAAUUCAUAACAUCUUAUUUUAAAUCUUACACAAUUUGAAACACCUGAAGCUGUUCUAGGCCCCAACUAAACGGGCAUCUAAUGCGCUGAAUUUAUUUCGGGUGUUUCUUCAGGACUCCUAUGGGGGGCGUCAGUUCUGGUCGUAUAGUUUACUCUAUAAGAGCCAAUGCAUACGGCUCACAAGCUUGAGAAAUUCAGCCCAUCUGAGACGCCUGUGUAGGUGGAGCCUAUAUAAUAUGCACCCAUAAGUUAUGUUAUAAUAUGACCAAAAUUGGAAAGGAACGCUGAUCUAUUAUAUAGUAGCCCAAGCCACUGCUACCUCCAGUUGAAUACAGUAUUUAGUUCAGUGCCCACUCAACUCCACUAUCCACAGCCCAAUCAUUACUGAAUGUAAAUUGUGGAUCACAAUAAAUAUUAUCAGAACCGAUUAUUGUCCACCGAUUGCAUAUUUUAAUGGCAGUUAUUAAUUUGUAAUUACGGAAUGUUGUGUAGAUGUGCGUGUGUGUUAGUUGUGAUCAUUUUUUUGUAAUGAACAUAAUGCAAAAAUUGAAUCUAGUCAGUGGUCUAAUGAUGUUUUUCAAAGUAGAUGUCUCCAUUGGUUUAAUUAAACGGUACUAUUAGUUCCUUCACCUUCAUACAGUAUUACAUUCCAUCUAUUCAUUCAUAAUAUAGUAGUUGCACAGAUCCAUUUUUAUCUUGAACAUUUCAUGCAUUGAAAAACCACAGUAUACGAAAAAUACAGUAGGUACAUUCUAUCAACAAAUCUCAUCAAUGUUGGCUAAUUUGUAUGGGAAAUUCGUGGUAGAUUGGUUAAAGUAAUUUAUUGUAACAUCUCGAUGGUUGAAAGGUAUAGCUAUCCUUGAACAAGUUUUUUGUGCUGAGUAAAAAAUAUAUAGACCCAAAGUAGAAAUCAGUAGAAAUGGACAAUAUUUUAUCAAUAUAUUAUAAAAAUUGCAUCUUUAUCUUAUCGUUAUUCAACAAAAAAAAACAGUAGGCCUACCAUAGGAAAAAACUACUGAAGAUGGCCAUAGGCGACGCUAGUAUAUAAUGCAUGUUCUAUGCUUUUCAGAAUUCAUUUGAUAUCCAUUUCAUAAUAAAUAUAUUUUAUAAUGAUCCAGUAAUUGGUUAUUUCAGAGUACCUACCGUAUACUGUGCUGAUUGAAAAAUAUUUAUUUCCGUAGGCCUAUAGUUCUCAAAAACUUUUGUAAAGCUUCAGGACGAUUUUUAUAUUGUCACACAUGUAUUGGCAUCCUCAGGUGAUUCAGCUUCUGCCAAAAAACUUGUUCAUUGAGUAGCCUACUUGGAAAAUUUGCAUAGACUACAAUAUUGGAUUCCCACUCUAAACCGUCAUUUUUUAUGAUCAGAAGUCAAGUGAAACUCAAGCGGUUGUAUAAAGAACGCUAGAUUUUUAAAAGAUAAUAACUUAAUGUAACAUAGUAUAGAUUGUACUGAUGAGUAUAUUAUGUAGUAUAUAAAAUUAUCAAUAGCUUGUAAGCUACAAAAAUGCAUACUUUGUAAAUAGAAUAUGCUCAAACAUUAGAAAACAGCCAUGUAAAUACCUGGAAUUUUGAUUGAGUACCGUAUAAGUUUGAUUGUGGAGAAUGCCAUUCAUGGCUAAACAUUAAAAGCUUUUCAAUAAGCUUGAAUACAUAAGUUAACAUGAUAAUUCAUCUUCAAUUCGAUGUUUUGAAUUAUGUGCGACUAUACUAACAUUGAAAACUAUCUACUCUACCAGUAAGAUAUUUUGUUAUCUUCAUAUUGUACAUCAUGAAUUUAAUUUUCAUGUAACCAUUCAUAUUUUUCUAUGGAUGAUGUAUAUGUUAUUAUUCUAUCCUUCAGCAUCUAAUCAUUUCUCAUCCAACUUUAUUUAUUAUAUUAUAUUGCAAGCAUAUGAGAACAAGUGUUCAUAAUGCAGGAAAUUUACGAUUAAGUAUGCUAUUGUGAGUUUUAUUUUUGAAACGUUAUUCAAUUCAACUGGAACAGAAUGGUCAUACUUAUUAUAUGAAACAAAUUAAAAGGCAUAAGUAUACCAAUUACUAAGUACCUACCGUACCAGUGUUUGUUAGCGAUGCAUAGUAGGCCUGCUGCGUAUUUAUAGUAGGCCUAUUGUAAUAACAAUAAUUUCCGAUAUCCUUCCAAAGAAAAUAAUUUUAAAAUUUGAAGAAAAAACUAACUCAUUACGUAUUGAGUCAUAUAAUUAUUGAAAAUUGUUCUGUGUGCAGGUAUAGGCAUUAUUGAACCCGUACUGCUUUAAACCAUAAUUUAUAUCUCUCAUCGGAUUGGUCUACCAGUCGGAUUGAAAUUACAUUAUUCCAUUUCAAUGUAUUAUUGUAAAACCUUUUUCUAUUCGAAUGCUUUCGUAAUUUAAAGUGUGAUUCCGAUAUCUUCAAUCUACACAGAAAAUAAUACAAUCAUAUAGGCUUCGGUACAGGCUACUUAUAAUACUAUUUUAAGACUUGGCCACAGAAAACAAUAAGGAGACUAAAACAUUUUUUUUCAAUUUUGCCCAGAUGUGCAAGUACCAUAUCAGAAAAAUAAAAUCAAACAAUUCUCAAUUAUAAGGAAUAAGAAUCUCUUUUCUCUGUAUUACUCGCCCUGGAUGAAUAUAACCCCAUAGAGAUUUUCUUGUGCACAUCUUCUGCCGUUGAUAACUCACUUGAAUGCUAAGUAGCUUCCUGUUCCAGUGUCUAUUUAACAUUCUUGCGCUUAGAACUCUACUGCCUCUUAAGGUUUUUAUGUUAAAUAAUUUUUUUAGGCUGUGGUCUUAUUCACAAUACCUCUAAUAGGUAUUGAAAUCUAAUUAUUUUGAGUACAGUAUUAUUUGUUUUUUUCUCAAUUUUAUCUUCAUGAGACUACAUUUCUGACCAAUUUGGAAAUAUAAAAGAUCACACUAUAAUUUAUAAUAAUAGGGUUCAACAAUUAAUUUCUAUAAUAAGUUCAUCAAUACUUAUUACACAAAUAAUGAUAUUACACAAAAAUGUAUCCCAACUCUGACACAUUUAUCUUGGAUUGAAAUAAUUUUAUUAAAAUAAUUAUAGCAGUGUACCUAUAGUAUAUUCUUUAAAGUGUUACAAAUCUCUCUAUGAACUGAUUUGUAAAUAUAAUUAUUUCAGGAAUGCUAAAAUAUACUGGAAUCAAAUGGGGUCAUAUUGACCCCGCGUGAUUAAAAAUAGAACAAGAUUAGAGGGAGUAAUUCAGAGUUAGGAUAAUAGUUUCGCUUUAUUGUGUUGAACGUCCAUGUACCUCAAGAUUUACCAAUAUCAUGCAUGUUAUUUAUUCUCAACUCCUUCACACACAGUGUACGGUAUUGUUGUUUAUGUGCCAUACAUAUAUUUUAUGUUGUAUUAUGUAUGAUGAUAAGAUUUAUCGUUCACUUCCAAAGUAUAUAUUUCAUAGAGCAGUUACUAGUGAUAUAGUGAUGUGAAGUCUGUAUUAAAAAAGCUCAUAAGUAACUAAUUUAAUAUCCGUUAAUGUGAAUAUGUAGCUUUGUAUUAGUCUUAUAAGCGAACGUUUUAUUGAAAGAAUAUGUAAAUAGACUGUUAUUAUUUAUUAUGGCAUUUCAUGUACAUUUUGUAUUUUUUAAUUUGUUAUAGAUUUAAUAAUAAAAUAGAUGCAAUUCUG